rnacentral:tRNA from 1 species
GCCUGGCUGGUUCAGUGGGUAGAGCUUGCGACUCUUGAUCUCAGGGUUGUGGGUUCAAGCCCCAUGUUGGGUG